rnacentral:lncRNA from 1 species
GGCAAUGAGUGGUAUGAGGUCAUAGAUUUAAGAGCAAGACCUAAAGAGACCAUGAGACAGUCAACAACACAAAAGCAUGAGAUGCUCUGCAGCAACAGUUCUCCAGGGCUGAGAUCAAGUCCUGUCUCCUCUCUAAUCCAACGCCCGUCAUUCGCACUGACAGAAGUGAACCUUCAGAAUCCAAGAGUCAUUCGCCAGAAAUGUUACAAGAGCAAAGUGUGCGUUUUAUUAUCCCCCAGAAGGUAGGAGUCUCUCACUCUGAAAACAAACAAGAACCUUUCCAGAGAGUUUGAUCAUCUUUUAAGAUUCGGUCCACACCAUCAUCCGCCCAUUUUCAGGAGAAGAAAAGUAAAUAAAGGAGGGAUACUUCAGUAAGUGCCUCGCUCAGCUCUGAGGGAGACUGGCGCUCUGCUCAUUUUCCUCUGCUCAGGUUCCGCCCCACCCACUGAUGAGCUGGGAAGCCUCCUGUCUCAGUUAGGUUCUCCUGGAAGCCAUGAACACGCUGGUGUCUUUGCACGUUCUUUCUCUCCUCCCUGACUCCGUCUAAGCAGAUUGAAAACUUAGUUUCUGAGCCCUGAAGCAAACAGAGAAGAGCAGCCAGCCUCCCGCGGAAGCUCUUCACAGUCUCCCAGGGAUUUCCAGUCAUGGCCAACAUCUUUGUUACAGGACGGAAUCCAGCAACCACUCGCAACCUUAGCAUAAAGCAGUAGCCAAGUCUUACGGGCUAGUUACGAAUAUCAGAUGUGCGGUGACUAUCCACGGGCUUAGAGUGAGUUGGGCAUAUUUAAGUUAUGAAAGAUGUGUUUAUUUCCCCUGGACCCCAAAUAAAUGUCAGCGACAGCUCCAA